UACAGAGGUCUCAAGCGUUGUUCGGAUUCAUUGGGCGUAAAGGGUGCGUAGGCGGCGCGGUAAGUCGGGUGUGAAAUCUCGGGGCUUAACUCCGAAACUGCAUUCGAUACUGCCGUGCUUGAGGACUGGAGAGGAGACUGGAAUUUACGGUGUAGCGGUGAAAUGCGUAGAGAUCGGGUGGAACACCAGGGGCGAAGGCGGCUGCCUGGCUCUGACCUGACGCUGAGGCGCGAGAGCGUGGGGGAGCAAACCGG
rnacentral:rRNA from 1 species